rnacentral:rRNA from 1 species
GGACGAACGCUGGCGGCGUGCUUAACACAUGCAAGUCGAACGGGAGUAUUGAAGAAGCUUGCUUUAGAGAUACUUUAGUGGCGGACGGGUGAGUAACGCGUUGGUGACCUGCCCCGAAGCGAGGGAUAACAGUUCGAAAGAACUGCUAAUACCUCAUGUGAUCACCGGUUUUAGAAUCUGGUGAUUAAAGGUGAAAAUCACUUCGGGAGGGGCCUGCGUCCCAUCAACUAGUUGGUAAGGUAAUGGCUUACCAAGGCGAUGACGGGUAGGGGACCUGAGAGGGUGGCCCCCCACAAUGGAACUGAAACACGGUCCAUACACCUACGGGUGGCAGCAGUAGGGAAUAUUGCAAAUGGGCGAAAGCCUGAUGUAGCAACGCCGCGUGUGCGAUGAAGGUCUUCGGAUUGUAAAGCACUUUUUGGAGGGAUGAGGAAGGACAGUACCUCCAGAAUAAGCCUCGGCUAACUACGUGCCAGCAGCCGCGGUAACACGUAGGAGGCAAACGUUAUCCGGAUUUACUGGGCGUAAAGCGUGUGCAGGCGGUUUGAUAAGUUGGAUGUGAAAGCUCCUGGCUUAACCGGGAGAGGUCGUUCAAAACUAUCAGACUAGAGAGUGGUAGAGGGAGAUGGAAUUCCGCGUGUAGUGGUGAAAUGCGUAGAUAUGCGGAGGAACACCAGUGGCGAAAGCGAUCUCCUGGCCCAUUUCUGACGCUCAGACACGAAGGCUAAGGUAGCAAACGGGAUUAGAGACCCCGGUAGUCUUAGCUGUAAACGAUGUGAACUUAGUGUCGGUGGGGUUAAAUCCAUCGGUACUGAAGCUAACGCGAUAAGUUCACCGCCUGGGGACUACGGCCGCAAGGUUAAAACUCAAAGGAAUUGACGGGGCCCCGCACAAGCAGCGGAGCGUGUGGUUUAAUUCGAUGAUACGCGAGGAACCUUACCUGGGCUUAAAUGUAGAGUGCAUUUUCUAGAGAUAGAAAUUCCCUUCGGGGCUUUCUGCAAGGUGCUGCAUGGUUGUCGUCAGCUCGUGCCGUGAGGUGUCGGGUUAAGUCCCAUAACGAGCGCAACCCUUAUCGUUAGUUGCCAGCUGGUAAAGCAGGGGACUCUAGCGAAACUGCCACCGUAAGGUGAGAGGAAGGUGGGGAUGACGUCAAAUCAGCACGGCCCUUAUGUCCAGGGCUACACACGUGUUACAAUGGCCGGUACAGAGGGCUGCUACCUGGUGACAGGAUGCUAAUCUCGAAAACCGGUCUCAGUUCGGAUCGAAGUCUGCAACUCGACUUCGUGAAGCCGGAUUCGCUAGUAAUCGCGCAUCAGCAACGGCGCGGUGGAUACGUUCCCGGGCCU